rnacentral:rRNA from 1 species
GGGACACGUGGUAUCCUGUCUGAAUAUGGGGGGACCAUCCUCCAAGGCUAAAUACUCCUGACUGACCGAUAGUGAACCAGUACCGUGAGGGAAAGGCGAAAAGAACCCCGGCGAGGGGAGUGAAAAAGAACCUGAAACCGUGUACGUACAAGCAGUGGGAGCACGCUUAGGCGUGUGACUGCGUACCUUUUGUAUAAUGGGUCAGCGACUUAUAUUCUGUAGCAAGGUUAACCGAAUAGGGGAGCCGAAGGGAAACCGAGUCUUAACUGGGCGUUAAGUUGCAGGGUAUAGACCCGAAACCCGGUGAUCUAGCCAUGGGCAGGUUGAAGGUUGGGUAACACUAACUGGAGGACCGAACCGACUAAUGUUGAAAAAUUAGCGGAUGACUUGUGGCUGGGGGUGAAAGGCCAAUCAAACCGGGAGAUAGCUGGUUCUCCCCGAAAGCUAUUUAGGUAGCGCCUCGUGAAUUCAU